rnacentral:rRNA from 1 species
UACGAAGGGGGCUAGCGUUGUUCGGAAUUACUGGGCGUAAAGCGCACGUAGGCGGGUAUUUAAGUCAGGGGUGAAAUCCCGGAGCUCAACUCCGGAACUGCCUUUGAUACUGGGUACCUAGAGUAUGGAAGAGGUAAGUGGAAUUCCGAGUGUAGAGGUGAAAUGCGUAGAGAUCCGGAGGAACCCCAGAGGCGAAGGCGGCGUUCUGGCUCGCAACUGACGCUCAGACACGACAGCAUGGGGAGCGAACGGG